GAUGAACGCUGGCGGCGUGCCUAAUACAUGCAAGUCGAACGCAUUGUGGUUGAAAUGAUAUGAAGAACUUGUUCAGAUUUGAUUUUCAACAUUGCAAUGAGUGGCGAACGGGUGAGUAACACGUGGGAAACCUACCUCUUAGCAGGGGAUAACAUUUGGAAGCAAAUGCUAAUACCGUAUAAUAAUUAAAACCGCAUGGUUUUAGUUUAAAAGAUGGUCUUGCUAUCACUAAGAGAUGGUCCCGCGGUGUAUUAGUUAGUUGGUGAGGUAAUGGCUCACCAAGACAAUGAUACAUAGCCGAGUUGAGAGACUGACCGGCCACAAUGGGACUGAGACACGGCCCAUACUCCUACGGGAGGCAGCAGUAGGGAAUCUUCCACAAUGGACGAAAGUCUGAUGGAGCAACGCCGCGUGUGUGAUGAAGGGUUUCGGCUCGUAAAACACUGUUGUAAGAGAAGAAUGACAUUGAGAGUAACUGUUCAAUGUGUGACGGUAUCUUACCAGAAAGGAACGGCUAAAUACGUGCCAGCAGCCGCGGUAAUACGUAUGUUCCAAGCGUUAUCCGGAUUUAUUGGGCGUAAAGCGAGCGCAGACGGUUAUUUAAGUCUGAAGUGAAAGCCCUCGGCUCAACCGAGGAAUUGCUUUGGAAACUGGAUAACUUGAGUGCAGUAGAGGAAAGUGGAACUCCAUGUGUAGCGGUGAAAUGCGUAGAUAUAUGGAAGAACACCAGUGGCGAAGGCGGCUUUCUGGACUGUAACUGACGUUGAGGCUCGAAAGUGUGGGUAGCAAACAGGAUUAGAUACCCUGGUAGUCCACACUGUAAACGAUGAGUGCUAGUUGUUCGAGGGUUUCCGCCCUUGAGUGACGAA
rnacentral:rRNA from 1 species